AUUCCUUUUCACCACCUUUGGGAUGUGGGAGAGGGUCCCCACUUCCAAAUCAGUGCUCAUUUGGAGGGCUGGAAUGGGGAGGGAACCACAAGCAAAUCCCAAAGACACUGAUUGGGCCUGGGCCCCUGGCUGCCUUCUCUGCUCCAAUACUCAGGGCCCCAGCCCAGGUUCACUAGAGCUUGACCCCCAUGACUUGGUGCUUCAAAGUCCUAGAUACCCUCUCCCCAGGAGAUAUCCCCCCAUCAGCUGGGUGAGGGAACAGAAAUUCCUUGGAGGUCAACCAUCUCUUACAGGAGACUCCCAAACUCCCAAAGCUUUUGGAGAAUCCUUGCUCGCUUGGAGCUGAAUCCUGAGUGUGGAGACUGGCUGUGUGUUUGAAGAGGAGCUACAGCUGUGAGAGAGAGCAGAAUGACACUCCUGGCGCCUUAUUCUCUCCCCCAGGUGCCUUUCCUUGUCUUACCCUGUUCAAGCCCCAAAUCUCGCCUGUAAUAAGCCCUGUGGCCUCCUUCCAAGCCUCAGUCUAUUACCGGAGUCAUCCAAAAGGGCUGCUUCCAGACGCCCGCGUCUCCGAUUUUUAAAAUUUUCGGCCCCUUUUUUUGUAUUUCCGAGUCCCCCUCCCCCCCCGAGAUGUGAGAUGUGCAGGCGGCCGGCGUGGUUCGGGGUUCCUAGACCGCCUCGCCCAAGCUCCACCGUUCUGGGCGCGCCGAGGCUGCGAGAGCUGGUCCUGCCCACCCGCCUCCGAGGCACUUGGUGCUGCGCGGCCCUCCCCAUUGGAGCUGUCGCGUGGCGCCUGGUCUGCGAGCUGGGGUCUGCGGGUUUGUGUUUCUGUCUAUCCCCCAAAAGUGUGAGGAAGUCUGGAUUGAGACCGAAAGCAGCAAGACGCGGGCUUGGACUUUGGGGAACACCUGAGCUCGCGCUGGCGGGGAACCGGCAACCCGGGACAACGUACCCCGCUACAACUCCACGCGCCCACGCGCCCUUCGCCGCAGGCAUGAGGCCCUGACUGCAGACCCCAACGCGCGCGAGGCGAUCGGGGUCCAAAGGCUACACCGCAUCCAGGAGGCCCCUCAACUUGGCCGCCUGGGCAGCGGGCAGCGGCCUUUCCCGGGGCUUCCGUCACCCACGCCCCGGGACCCCGCCGUCCAGCCCCCUCUAUGGUGAACGCUGCAGGUGAGGCAAGGAAGGCACAGGGGCAGGGGUGUUAAACCUGACCGGAGUGGAUUAAGGCAGAGACAGAGGUGGAGGACGGGCAAGAACAGGCCUCUCCGGAGAGAAGACCACUGGCCUCUUGCUUCUUUUUCCCCAUCUGGAAAAGAAACUUUGACCCUGGGCCCCUGCUCAGUCUCUUUAUUUACAAUUAAUAAUAAAUGCCUCCGCUCCCAUCACUGAUGAGUCACUAGUAACGGGUUUGUUUGU